UCUUCCGUAGUAUAGUGGUCAGUACGGGGGCCUGUCAACAUGUGUUCUCAGACGUCCUCAUCCCGGGUUCAAAUCCCGGCGGCAGAG